GACGAACGCUGGCGGCGUGCUUAACACAUGCAAGUGGAGCGACGAAGCGGGCUUCGGCCCGUGGCAGAGCCGCGAACGGGUGAGUAACACGUGGGUAACGUGCCCCAAUCACUGGGACAACCCGGGGAAACCCGGGCUAAUACCGGAUGUGCUCCUUCCACAUCAGUGGAUGGAGUAAAGGUAGUUUCGGCUUCCGGAUUGGGAUCGGCCCGCGGCGCAUUAGCUAGUUGGCGGGGUAACGGCCCACCAAGGCGACGAUCCGUAGCUGGUCUGAGAGGACGAUCAGCCACACCGGAACUGAGACACGGUCCGGACUCCUACGGGAGGCAGCAGUGGGGAAUAUUGCGCAAUGGGGCAACCCUGACGCAGCAACGCCGCGUGGGUGAAGAAGGCUUUCGGGUUGUAAAGCCCUGUCAGGUGGGAAGAAACCUUUCUCGGCGAAUAGUCGAGAAAACUGACGGUACCACCAAAGGAAGCACCGGCUAACUACGUGCCAGCCGCCGCCGUAAUAC
rnacentral:rRNA from 1 species